rnacentral:lncRNA from 1 species
AAAACAAGAACAUGAUCAUGAAGAAAAAAUGGCACUGAGCUCGAAUCUGACCUCCAAUUAUUCCAAUUCCAAAUAUAUUGAGAGAUAUGUGGAAUUGAAAAUUGAGGUACAUGAACUGAGUUGCUUCGAUUUGACCUCAAAGCAACGCAAUCUCCUUGCCUACAUUGGUAGGACUUCAGACAACCAAAGAAUCAAUAGAAUUG